GAUGAACGCUGGCGGCGUGCCUAAUACAUGCAAGUCGAGCGAACAGACGAGGAGCUUGCUCCUCUGACGUUAGCGGCGGACGGGUGAGUAACACGUGGAUAACCUACCUAUAAGACUGGGAUAACUUCGGGAAACCGGAGCUAAUACCGGAUAAUAUAUUGAACCGCAUGGUUCAAUAGUGAAAGACGGUUUUGCUGUCACUUAUAGAUGGAUCCGCGCCGCAUUAGCUAGUUGGUAAGGUAACGGCUUACCAAGGCGACGAUGCGUAGCCGACCUGAGAGGGUGAUCGGCCGCACUGGAACUGAGACACGGUCCAGACUCCUACGGGAGGCAGCAGUAGGGAAUCUUCCGCAAUGGGCGAAAGCCUGACGGAGCAACGCCGCGUGAGUGAUGAAGGUCUUCGGAUCGUAAAACUCUGUUAUUAGGGAAGAACAAAUGUGCAAGUAACUAUGCACGUCUUGACGGUACCUAAUCAGAAAGCCACGGCUAACUACGUG
rnacentral:rRNA from 1 species